rnacentral:rRNA from 1 species
CACGUAGGGCGCGAGCGUUGUCCGGAAUUAUUGGGCGUAAAGAGCUCGUAGGCGGUUUGUUGCGUCGGCUGUGAAAUCCCGAGGCUCAACCUCGGGUCUGCAGUCGAUACGAGCAAACUAGAGUGUUGCAGGGGAGACUGGAAUUCCUGGUGUAGCGGUGAAAUGCGCAGAUAUCAGGAGGAACACCGGUGGCGAAGGCGGGUCUCUGGGCAACAACUGACGCUGGAGGAGCGAAAGCGUGGGGAGCGAACAGG